UUUUUCCGAUGUUUCCCGGCCGUAGUUUUGGGUAGGGUAGAGUAGGAAGAAGUAGGGGUAGAAAUGGUUAAAAAAAAAAUUUUGGAAUUUUUGGUUUUUCCGUGAGUUUUCCCAGAAAAAAUAAAAAAUCAGUUGGAGGAAAUCCCGGAAUUUUUGGGUGGUUUUGGAAUUUUUUUAUUUGGGGGGAGGGAAAAUCCUGAUUUGGAGGUUUUGAAGAAAAUCGGGAAUUUUGGGCGGUUCUGUAAUUUAUUGUAUUUAUUCAGCCGGAAAAUCCCGGAAAAUUUUGGGGAGGAAAUCCCAAAAUCGGGGGGGAAAAAGGAUUUGAUCCCAAAAAUCUUCUUGGAUUGGGGCGGGGGAAAAAAUGGGAAUUCUGAGGUUUGUCCCAGGGUUUUUUGGGAUUUUUUUGGAAUUUUCUUCUUUGUUUGUAAUGUGAAUAAAAAUAGAUUUAGUGAGGAAUUCCUGGAUUUUUUUCUUGGGGAUGAAAUGGGGGGAAAGUGGGAAUAAUCCCGGGGAAAAUGGGGAAUUUUGGGGGUUUUUUUGGGGGGCAAAUAUUUGGGAAUUUUGGGGAAUUUGGGGAAUUUUUGGGGCAUUUUUUGGGCAUCCUUUGGGAAUUUUGGGGGCAAAUCUUUGGGGAUUAUUUGGGAUUUUUUGGGGGAAUUUCUUUGGCAUUUUUUGGGAAUCCCUUGGGAAUUUGGGGGGGAAAUAUUUGGGAAUUCUUGGGGGUAUUUUGGGAACUUUUUGGGCAUUUUUGGGAAUCCCUUGGGAAUUUUGGGGAGCAAAUCCUUGGGAAUUUGGGGAAUUUUGGGGCACAUAUUUGGGAAUUCUUUGGGACUUUCUGGGGUGCAAAUCUUCGGGAAUUCUUUGGGUAUUUGGGAAUUUCUGGGCGACUCCUUGGGAAGUUUCUGGAGGAGGAGGAAGCGGAGGAGGAGGAGGAGGGGGAGGAAGGAGAGGGAGAGGAGGAGAAGGGAGGGAAAGGGAGGAGGAGGAGGGGAGGAAGAAGAGAAGGGGGAGGGGGAAGAGGAGGAGGAGGAAGAAGAGGAGGAAGAACAAGAGAGGAGGAAGAAGAAGGAGCGGGGGAAAAGGGGGAGAGGAGGAGGAGAGGGAGAAAGAGGAGGAGGAGGAGGAGGNNNNNNNNNNNNNNNNNNNNNNNNNNNNNNNNNNNNNNNNNNNNNNNNNNCCCCGCGGGGCGCCGCCUCCAGCGGGACCGGGACCGGGACUGGGAGCGGGAACGGAGCGGGAACGGGUCCGGAUCGGGAUUAGAACCGGGCUCGGAUUUGGGAUUUUUGGGUGAAGAUGCAGGAGAAUUACGAGAACGUCAUUUCCUUGGCCGAGGAGAUCGCCAUCAGUUGGCCGCGGAUCACCGCGUUCGCCGAAUCGCACCGGAGACGUGGCCUCGGCGCCGGUGAGUCAACGGGGCUUGGCCAAGAAGGGGUUGGGCUCUUCCAGUUGGCCAACGCAACCAUGAAUGGGUUGGGCUCUUCCAGUUGGCCAACCCAACCAAGAUUUGGGUUGGGCUCUUCCAGUUGGCCAACCCAACCAAGAUUUGGGUUGGCCAACGCAACCAAGAGAGGGUUUGGAUGUCCUGGGUUGGUCAAUCCAACCUAGAUUGGGUUUGGACUCUUCCAGUUGGCCAACCCAACCUAGGGCAUGGUUGGGCUCUUCCAGUUGGCCAACGCAACCCAAAGAGGGUUUAACAUUUGAUUUAACCAAAUUUAAUUUGACCAUAAUCCAAAUUUGGGAUUUUCAGGAAUUUUCAUUGAAAUUUUACCAAGGCCUUUGCGAUUUUCAGGAAUUCCCUUUAAACUUGACCAAAAUCUUUGGAAUUUUCAUGAAUUACUUCCAAAAUUUGACCGGGAAUUUCGGGAAAUCCCUCAAAAUUCCCCCAAAAUCUUCAGCAUUUUCAGGAAAUCUCCCCGAAAUUUUGGGGAUUUCCAGAAAUUCCCUUAAAUGUUGUCCAAAAUCUUGGGAAUUGUCACGAAUUUCUCCCAAAACUUGACCAAAAAUCUUCGGGAUUUUCAUGAAUGUCUUCCAAAAUUGAACCAAAAUUUUGCGAAUUUUGGUGAUUCCCUCAAAAUCCCCUCUGAAUGCCAACUUUUUUUUCCCGUUUUUUUUUUUCCCGUUUUUCCCCCAUUUCUC
ensembl:lncRNA